AAAUUGAAGAGUUUGAUCAUGGCUCAGAUUGAACGCUGGCGGCAGGCCUAACACAUGCAAGUCGAGCGGUAACACAGGGAGCUUGCUCCUGGGUGACGAGCGGCGGACGGGUGAGUAAUGUCUGGGAAACUGCCUGAUGGAGGGGGAUAACUACUGGAAACGGUAGCUAAUACCGCAUAACGUCGCAAGACCAAAGAGGGGGACCUUCGGGCCUCUUGCCAUC
rnacentral:rRNA from 1 species